GAUGAACGCUGGCGGCGUGCCUAAUACAUGCAAGUCGAGCGAACAGAUGAGGAGCUUGCCUCUCUGACGUUAGCGGCGGACGGGUGAGUAACACGUGGAUAACCUACCUAUAAGACUGGGAUAACUUCGGGAAACCGGAGCUAAUACCGGAUAAUAUAUUGAACCGCAUGGUUCAAUAGUGAAAGCCGGUUUUGCUGUCACUUAGAGAUGGUACCGCGCCGCAUUAGUUAGUUGGUAAGGUAACGGCUUACCAAGGCAACGAUGCGUAGCCGACCUGAGAGGGUGAUCCGCCACACUGGAACUGAGACACGGUCCAGACUCCUACGGGAGGCAGCAGUAGGGAAUCUUCCGCAAUGGGCGAAAGCCUGACGGAGCAACGCCGCGUGAGUGAUGAAGGUCUUCGGAUCGUAAAACUCUGUUAUUAGGGAAGAACAAAUGUGUAAGUAACUAUGCACGUCUUGACGGUACCUAAACAGAAAGCCACGGCUAACUACGUG
rnacentral:rRNA from 1 species